CAGUCAUGCUAGUGAGGAAUCAACUUGAUGGUGUGUGGGUUCGCUCGCAUACUUUCCGAUGCACUUCCUCACUCGGCAGGUUAGCAUCAAUUUCGGUUAUCAAUAAAAAAUUUGAGGGAAUGUGGUCUUUUCUU
rnacentral:rRNA from 1 species